rnacentral:snoRNA from 1 species
UCCGCCCUUAGUGACCUUACAGAUGUGACUGUUGUGUCACAAGUAUGUCAUUAGGGGGUGUAUAGGGGAUUGAACCUGGGACUUU